rnacentral:rRNA from 1 species
GUGCUUAACACAUGCAAGUCGAACGAACCUUCGGGUUAGUGGCGGACGGGUGAGUAACGCGUGAGAAUCUGCCCUCAGGAGGGGGAUAACAGCUGGAAACGGCUGCUAAUACCCCAUAUGCCGCGAGGUGAAAUGAAUUUCGCCUGAGGAUGAGCUCGCGUCUGAUUAGCUAGUUGGUGUAGGUAAUGGCUCACCAAGGCAUCGAUCAGUAGCUGGUCUGAGAGGAUGAUCAGCCACACUGGGACUGAGACACGGCCCAGACUCCUACGGGAGGCAGCAGUGGGGAAUUUUCCGCAAUGGGCGAAAGCCUGACGGAGCAACGCCGCGUGAGGGAUGAAGGCCUCUGGGCUGUAAACCUCUUUUAUCAAGGAAGAAGAU